rnacentral:rRNA from 1 species
UACGUAGGGUGCGAGCGUUAAUCGGAAUUACUGGGCGUAAAGGGUGUGCAGGCGGCUGAGUAAGACAGAUGUGAAAUCCCCGGGCUUAACCUGGGAACCGCAUAUGUGACUGCUUGGCUAGAGUGCGUCAGAGGGAGGUGGAAUUCCACGUGUAGCAGUGAAAUGCGUAGAUAUGUGGAAGAACACCGAUGGCGAAGGCAGCCUCCUGGGACGCAACUGACGCUCAUACACGAAGCGU